AAUCACUAGAAUUUGGCAUGUGAAAUGCAUGCAAGUUUUUGGAGGAUGACUAUUCUCAUUUCAGACAUUGAUAAGUUGGUGGUAGGUUCUUUUGCAAUAGAUGUCUUUUUUAGUGUGAAUUAUUUACUAUUUAUGAUGCACAUGAAUGAAUCAUGUGAAAGAAUAUAUGUUGGGUUUGAUGGCAUCAAGUUAUGAAGGUAUUAGGUUAUUUUUUCAUGCCAAUAUGUUUCUUUAUUUAUUUGUUAGGUGUGAUGCCCAUUACUGAAUUAAGGUGCAUCUGAUUCAAUACAGUCUACUGAUUUAAGCAGGAGUUUUUGAUUAAUGGUUCUGAAUUAUUCUGCACUUGCAGUGCACAUGUUUUAUCCAUGGGGAAGGUGUAUUUGGUAAAUGGCUUUGGUUAUAUCAUAAUAUUUUUAUUUUUAAGUACUAGAGAAUUCUCAAUUGGCAUGAUUAUUUUGUUUUCUCAAAAUUUUGGAAAUGAAAAAGUUAAGGGCUCAUUUGGCAUCAUUUUUAUGUCUUAUUUUUUAUUUUUAAAAGCAAAAAAAAUUAAAGCAACCAAGAAAAGAAUUUGUUUGAUGCUACUCUCUUUAUUUUCUAUUUUUAAAAGUGCUUUUCAUUAUUUCUAAAAAAAUAAAAGUAAGAAAUUCUUUCAUUAUUUUCAAAAAGAGAAACUCAUGUUUUUACCACAACCACCACCACCACCAUCUUAGCCACCACUGCUAUCGCCGCCGCAGUUGUUGCCAUCGCUACCAUCCUCGCCGCACCAUCGCCACCACACCAUCAUUGUUAUCAUCUCUAACUCCGCUAUAUCACUAGCACCUCCACCCCCACUGCGAUCCCCAUCACUGUUACUACCAUCACCACUUCCACCACAUCGCCGCCAUAACCAUUGUCUCUUCCACAUCGUUGGUAACUUGGUACCCUUGCCACCACUACUAUCUAAUUGAAUGAGUGUAUCAGAUAUUCUCACAGCUAUGUUAGAUACAUGCUUAAGAGGGUAACUCUUGACUUGCUCCAUUGUGACAAGAAGGUCAUGAGUUUAAAAUGAGGAAACAACCUCUCUGCAUAUGGAGGUUGCAUACACCCAAAUCUCCUCAGACCCUACAAUGGCGGGAGCCUUAUGUACUGGGCCACCCUUGUUUUUUUGAUGUAUGCUUAAGGGAUCUAAGCUUGAUUUGCAUCUCACUUGAUCUAGCUAAGGAUGAGUUCAAGUAAUAGACAUGUCAUCAAAACCAAGUUUUUAUGUAUUGGUGCUGGUGGGCAUGCCGGUCACCUGCCGGCAUGGCGCAUGCCAUGUCAUGAGGAAAUGCAUGCAUAACCAUGCUAACAAAUAAGAUUUAAAAAUCUCAUUCAAUUAAAAGGAUUAAAAACUUAAAUAGGUGAUAUGGCAAUCUGUGCCAAGUGGUACUAGCCGAGCAUAAUAUGUGCAAACUAGCACAGAUUGGCAUGGACGACAUGUGAAACCAUGAUUUAGACACCAGGACCACCGAUUUACAUGUCAUUCUUAGUUCUUUAGAAGAUCUUACGAAUGCUGGUCUCAUCCCAUAUAUAUGGGUUUAACUUAUGGACAAAGGUAUAAUCCAAAAUAGUCUGGGCACCAUUUUCAACCAAAAGCAAGCAUUUAAGUGCCACAUUCUUCGCUAGGGUGCCUCUGAGCAAACUUCGGUAGAGUGGAUUACCAUAGGGAACUGCUUUUAUGUUUAAGGCCUAGAUUAUAAGCCAAGAAAGUGGAAUGAAAACACUAGUUUUGCAUGCUGUUUGAGAUAUUAAAACAAGACAACUUAGUCUAAAAGCAAACCAUGCCAGAGAAUUCUUGUUAAGAAUAGGACCAUCAAUCAAUACCAAAAAAAAGGAAUACCAAUUCAAAAUGAAACUAUGCAACAAUGCAUACGGUGGUGAUACCAGGAGAUAGAUGAAAAUAGGGAAAUUGAAGAAACGUGAUCCUUAACAUACAUUGACAUCGAUAAUUCAGAAGUUGAGAAGUUCUAUUUUACUAAAUUUAAAGGAUGUUUGGAGAAUUUGCUAAGAAUUAUGAAGAAUGGGAUUGAAAAAUUAAGGAUGGCGGCAUCAAUGUUUGGUCAAGAUCUGCAUUAACCCUGAAUGAAUUGUUUUUUUGUGAACUGUGGUUUGCCAUGUUCAUGGGGAAGCAAGUGGAAAUGGGUGGGAAAACUAUGAAGCAUAUCUAUCUUAAAAUUUAUUGUCAUCUGAUGAAUCUUCUCAUUCAAUUCAGAAUGAGUCAGAUAACUUGUUAGUAUUCUUUUCUUCUUGUAAGAAGCAAGCACCAUAUCAAAAUGUUUCUUGAAGAGGCGUAUUAGUAAAGUGGAGCCCCAAGAACACUUCGAACGAAUCACUUAAUAAUGACCUAAAUGGUUCUGCGGUCAUUAACCUUUGCCGAAUUUGUUUGUCAGUGCAUGGAUUAGUAGGGUACCUGACAGGGUCAGAAAAGUUCAAUGAAUUAUCACCUUGUUAUGUGCACAACUAAACAUACUGAUAGCAAGCAUAUAUGUAUUUAUGUGACUGUAUGACUUGUACAUUUACAUGUAUGAUAUAUGAACAAGAUUUUUUUUUGAGUCAUUGGGGAUUUUACCAUCCCCAGUCAAAUGCAGGAACAAGAACAAUGUUAUCAUGUUCAAGAUUUUCAGCUUUGAACAUAAAUUGUGGGUGUAUUUAUCAUUAUAACAUACACUUAUCUUUAUAAUAAGACACAUGUUAGGACAUCUCCAAGGUCUGCCUUUAUUAACUGUGUUUGAAUUCUGAAAUUGUCAUAGUUGUUAUUAUCAAAAUAAGCAAUUUGUCUGUAUUAUCAACUUAUCAUUGCAUUUUGAGCUAUGACUAAUUCUUUUCAAUUACCUCUAAUUGUUAGUCAAAUAGUUCUAAAUUCUCAAGUGAUGGAGGGAUUUAAAAUUAUACUUUAAUUUGCAUAUGUCAUAGUGAAGAGCUGAUGAACUUUAAAUUUUCCCUUUUCAUUUUCAAUUUGCCCUAUUAAAAAGAAAAAGCUGAAGGGUUGACAUCAGAUAGAGUAGAAAGAAAUCCACAUUUUUCUUGUGGGUGACUAAAUAGCUGAUGUGCUGUCUGGGUAAGAAAGAGACAGCCCUCUCUUUCAAGGUUUCAAAAAUGGCAUAAUUCCAUUGUAACAGACCCCACUGAGACUGUUAUUGACCGUUAUAAUGGUUUCAGUAGCUGCUAUUUGCCUUGAAAAGUACUAUUUCAAUUUUUUAGUAUUAAAAUUAUCAAUGUUAUGUUAGCUGCUAUGAUAGUGUUGCAACUGAAAGUAACAGGCAUUAUGCUUGAUGAAAAAUAUUAUUUUUCUGACAGUAAAAUUUCUUUUGGAGGGGAAAUUGAUGCAAAAGUUUUAAAGUUUAGAAGCCAUAGCACUUUACAAAACAAAUGAAAAUAGUGGCUGUUAUGUAUGUUCUAAUAGAGCAAUGCUAAAAUAGUGCUUUAUAAAGGCUGUUUACUUUUUCCCUGUUAUUAUGUAUAAUAAUGUAAGAGGGGGAUAUCAGAACUGUAAUUACAGCCAUUGUAAUAUUAUAAGGGCUGCUAUUUAAACCUUACUCUUUUUCUCCCCUUGUGCAGGAAGUUACUGAUAACCCCCCAACCUAUAUAUUGUAGCAGUUAAAAAUGAAUCUAGAACCUCCACACUGGAACUUCAUGAGUUGGCGAAUAAGCAGACGGACAGUAUGAUUUAGCAAAAAAAUAAAAAUAAAAACGAGAAAAUUGCAUAAUAUCUUGUUAAAAAUGUUGUCAUGACCAAGUCGGCCCAGUACUGGGUUUGAUAUACAUACGUACAUAUUUACAUUCAUAUAUGCAUAUGCAUGCAUAUAAUAUUGAUUCUAUAUUUUACAGCUCCUAUAUAUUGCACAGCUCUAAUUAAGCUUUUUACUUGUUAGAUUAAUAUGGAAAACCUGUUAUUAAUGCUUGUUUGAUUAUAUAGAUGCCGAAAGGUGUACCUGUUGCAACUGUUGCGAUAGGAAAUGCAGCAAAUGCAGCUUUAUUAGCUGUUAGGAUCCUGGCUGCUGGGGAUGCUGAUUUGUGGGACAGGUGGGAUUCUUUGUAUCCUAGAUUCCCUUCCAACUUAAUUUGAUAGAUAUUUAGUGAUUCGUUCUUUUGCAAAAUCAUUUCAUAUCUGUAUUUUGUACAGGGUGGUCAGUUACCAAGAGGAUAUGAAGGACACUGUACUGAGAAAAGCAGAAAAACUUGAGGGGGAAGGUUGGGAGAGAUAUUUGAAUCUCUGAUUCCCAUGUGCUUAUUCUGGUAUAAGUUAGCCUGCAUAUCCAUUUAUCUGGUUUGUGCAUGUUUAUUUAAUGGCUGGCUUACUAGUUUCUCAUAUGUAUCUUAAGCAGGUGAGUUGUUAUUAUCUUUAUCGCAAGUCCAGGAUUUUUUAAACAAUCAAAAUCAAUCAACAAAUGAGACAUGGAGUUCCAAAAAUGAGACUCUACAGUACAGAAUUUUUCUGCCACCCAACAAAGAGCACGAUCAGCAAAAUUAGAACAUCUUGUUCAGAGAAAAAUGAUUCUCUCUGAAGGAGUGUCUUGUAUCAUUUGUAUGUGAUAUGCUGCUGAUAAUUUCAGGCUCCAAAUUCCUGGGUGCAUUUGAUUGUUGAAUGUGUGGGACCCUUCAAAAUUUUGUUUCUCUCAUUUUUAUUUAGAACUCAUUGUUAUGAGGAUGGAGAUUGAAUUUGGUCUUAUGCUGAGUUAUAAGCGGAGCAACUUGUGUAAUAGAGUGAGGCUGUACAUUCUGCAGCGGGUGGUUGUAUCAUCAUAAACAGAACCUCUUUUUUUUCUGAUUGUAGAAUGUAUCCAACUUUGUUGUAUCCUACCUUCAUCCAGAAAGAUGGCACCAUAUUUAUCUGAUGGUGGUUGCUGGUUAACUUAUUUUUCUUGGUAGUUAGCAAAAAGAAAAAAUGUUGGCUGUCAGGAUCUUGGAGUAAGAUGUUUACUGUGUAGAACAUGCUAAAGCAACGAUGGGAAACAACGUCGAAAUGAAUGUGAUACUUCAUAAAUAUCUCUUUAUAUGCUAGAGAGUGAAGAUAUAGAGAACUUGCUCCGAAGGUCAAAUCAAUGAUUUUUGUCCAAAACGCCUCCUUUUCAAAUGAAAUCUGUGGCUCCAUUUAGCAAGGUGAGUGCUAUUGAAAUCAGCAAAAAGGCUCUCCCUUAGCUUUUCAAUGUAAUCGAUCAUGCAAGUGAUAAAUUGGGAGAUUGGAAAGGAAUGUGUUGAUCAGAAUUAAUCAUGCUAGCAGCAGAUAACUGAAAAUCUUUCUAACCUGCAAUCCUCAUCAUUUUUUCAAUAAGGUAUAUCCACUCCAGAUAUAUUUCAUGUCAUUGAGUGGUACGCCCAUAUAAUGAAUAAGGAAAUCUUGUAAUAAGGAAUUCAUCAUCCCAGAAAACUUCCCCUGCUCGAAAAUGAUCUCCUUACUCGAUCCAUGAACUUAAAUAUAUACAUACAACUUCAAGUUAUAUAUAAUUAAUCUAAAUGCAAUCAAUUGGAAUUCUUCAACUUCAUAGGAAACUGUCGUCUACAUAGAGUAAGCUAUUGAAACCAUCCAUAAUCCUCGAAGGAUCCAAUUCUUUUUAUCAACCUUGUAGCCUAGCUCAGUUUAAGAACCGCCUGGAGAGCACAUCUACUGCCAGAACAAGGAGGAAAGGGGAUAAAAGGGUUGCCCUGAAGAAUGUCCCUGUCACAUCCAGUCUAAUUCCUGAUUUGUACGUUCACUAGCACUUUUACUUCACUUUGCUAGUAGUAACAGAAAAUUAAAUCCAAGAGAUCCAAAGAAUCAGGACUUCUCCGUUGUUUAAGGUAAAGAUAUUUUUUUUCUAUAUAUUUCUUUUCAGUGGUCAGCUGAGUUGCCUCGAGUCUUGACUAUAUUCUCAUGUCUCUACAUGUUCAAGUGGGCGUUCAUUAAAAAGCCUACAAUAAAAUUACAUCAUAGGUACUUGGUGUGAGCUCCAUCUUGAAGAUGGACGUCUCUGAUUUGCUGGCACUGCCUCUGCUGUGCAGCCUGAAGAAAAUGAGAUAUUUCCACUAUCAGCUCUGAUCUGUGUUUGCUUCGAUAUAAUCUUGUCCGGUAAUAAAUUAGCUCCAAUGCAUAUCUUCCCAUCGAGCUUUGGAUUCUAUAAACCAUGAAAUGUUGUAGACUGUAGAGCACCGUUUCACUGUGGGCCAGGUCCAGCCUGUUUGGGCUUGGGCCGGUCGUGUAGGCCACUCAAUGUGCACCCGACAUGUGAGUCAAGAGAGGAAGACUCCAGCUCCCUGAGUCUGGCAAGGAGCAGAAUUCAAAGGCUUGUUGGACUGCAGAAAUGCCUGGAUUUGGCCUAUAAAAAGACCCAUCCAUCUUUCCUCUUGGCAUCACUUCUCCUUCUCGAUCAAUCGCCGGCGAUCGCAUCGAGUUUUUCUUUGAUUUCAGCCGGAAGAAUUUCACCAUGCCGUCGUUUGGGCAAGUUGCCGGGAUCCAUCCGAAACAGGGAUGUCCUGUUUCGGCAUCCUUUUCUUCCUUGGCCACCGUCGCCGACCGCCGAAAUAGGCCAAGUUAUGCCGCCCUUGGGGACCCCUGUAAUCAUGUGACUCUGGUUGGAGAGAGCCACGGUAAAGGGUCAAUUUGAAGACUUUGAAGGUGGGCAGUGCGGAUUGAUUUUCUUCCCUUUUUUGCGCCGCCCGACCAUCGUCGCCAGUGGUGCAGCAGCUAAAGGCCGCCCUUGGCCGCCGCCACUAGAGCUCGACCACCCUUGGCUGCACCACCCCUGGUCCAAGAGGAGGAAAGGGAGAGAUGGACUCUUCCUUGUUUUGGGGAAGAAGAAAGAGCUCUCUCUCUUCUCUCUCCCCUCUCUCCUCUCUCAUUUUUCUCUCUUGAUUGUCUCUUUCUUCGCAUGGUUCAUGAACCCAGCAGGAGGGUCUUAGAUGUUCUCAUUGUGGGCUCGGGUCGACCCUAGUAGACCGUCCUAGACUAGUGUCGUUGUGACCACCUGUCACGCUAGCUUUAUCCCGACCAUUGUCGAGCAUCGCUGGACUCUAUCAUCAUUAGUUUUUAUUGUGUUACAUAUACCAUGGUUUGAUUUUUAUUUCAUGAGUUAACUGGUUUGAUUGGCCAGAGCAAACUGACCUGAAUCGUCGAACGGUGCUACCUAGUCGACCCUAUUCUUCUUUCACUCCGAUUUUUAUUAGUUACCAUUAAAACCAUAAUUGAUAAUCCUUGAUCUAUUACUUUUUUUUUGAUUGGAUAUACGUUUUUUCAAUCAGAUAGAUUGAGUUAUAUUAUGCCGAUUGAUUCAAACAAUUGGGUGUUGUCAUUUAGCUGACAUCGUAUAUCUUUCUAUAUAAAUAUAUUUUCAUAGUCAGCCUUGAUUUUGUAUGGAGUUACAAUCAUCCAGACAGAAAGAAACCUAACGAGAUCUUAUACUAUAGUUUUAAAUUGAGGUAAGGCCUUAACCUUUUAUUUUUUUAAUUAAAGAAGAAUAGAGAAAAUAUAUAAUUCAAAUAUGAGAACUCUAAAAUUAGGUAAUUUUUGAAUAAUUAAUUUAUUUAUAUGGUGGUGAUUGAUAAGGAAUAAGUUGGUGUUAUAUUGAUAUUAAAUUGAUCGGACAUGUUAGGUGUGGAUUGGUAAUGUUGUAAUUGCGUUGCAUUGCGAUAGAGAUAAGAAUUUCUGUACUCGAUCACUAUAUAUAUAUAUCAAUAAAUUUUUUUUGGCAUGUUGUAAUAUAUUUUAUAAGAUUUUCAGUACAAAUAUAUUCACAUGGUUAUUAUAUAUAUGAGAUAUUGAGAACAUGAUUAUGUGAUAAAAAUACCUUAAAUUUGAGAGAAAUUCAUUAUAUUAGUGAUAACUGAUUUGGCAAAUGUAACAUAUAAAUUAGACAGAUAAAAUAUAGUUUGGAUUAACCUCAUCAUAGGAUAACGCUAAGCUAACGCAUGGAGAUAGCCUCCAAAAGCUUAUGCGUGGGAUAGCCUUCACGGGCUUAAGUGUAGUACAACGUCCAUGGACUAAUGCAUAGAGAUAGCCUCCACGGGCUUAAGCGUGAUAUAGCGCCCAUAGGCUAAUGCAUGGAAAUAGCCUCUACGAGCUUACAAGUGAAAUUUUGUCAAUCUUGGUCUAAGUCAUGAUAUUGGUUAGUCCAAAGUUGGAAGUUAAUCAACGAGAAACAUGAAAAUCAAGUUAAUGAGAAACGGAUGAAAUGCCAUAAGAAAUUAUUGUUGAAUAAUUGGUUACAUUUGAUAUAUAUAUGUGUGUGUGUAUAUGUGCUUCUUUGAAAAGAUGAUAAUAAGAACUUAUGUGUAUGUUAUUUGUAUGAGCUUUCCGAGUAUUGAUAUGAUACACAUUUAAUUUGUUCGGGAUUCUCACAACCUUUUUUUUCUUUUUUUUUCCAGAGUUACAGGUUGCUAGUGGCUUAAUACUUAACUAUAGUUGCUUGGUUAUAGUUGAGAUCAUAUGGAAAAGGGAUGAAUAGAUAGAGCAUCACUGACACUAAUUGGAUAAAUAAAUUAUAUAAUUGGAUUAGUUUUAUUUUUCGUUACGAAUUGAGAUCAUUAUUGUUCACAGAUAUUGAGGUUAUGAUAAUUUUUUUUGGCCCGUAUAUUUUUUAGGAUUAUGCCCUAAAGAGUGUGCGGCCGUGUUGUGUUCCGGACUUGGGUGCUGGUCCAAAGCAUGACAAAUCUCACCUAGUUGAUCAAGCAUCUAGAUUAGCUAUUGCUAUUUUGGAGCUUGCAACAAGCUUUAAAGUGAUUUGGAGUGGAAGGUGUAACCCGAAAAAAACCCGUCGUGCUUGGACCCUGAAUAUAAUUUUUUUUUCAAUCCCUCCAGAGACUGUGCCUUGUAAUUAGUAAAUGUUAUUUUUAUUUUUAUCUUUUGAUUAAUCAAAUUAUCCUCACAUUCCAACCAUGCAUCAAAUGCUUGUUUAUCGAGUGAUAGGAUCCCAGUCAUCUUUCAAGUACUCUGUUCAAAAGCCAUUGGAAACCAUGCAAAGGCUCUUUUCUGCCUCUUAAGCACUAUUCUUUCCAAAACCUGUCAUCCGCUCUCUUUUUUUUUUUUCAGAUAGCCGUGGAGGAAAAGACUUCAUUCCUUCUUUACUUCAUCUCCCCCUCUCUUUUCAAGAGCAAGCGACAAGCAUCGUUCACGUAUUUCCCUGUAAUUCAAUAGAUGCUCCUACUUUUUCUCUGGAAUGCUAUAGCGCAUACAUGGGAACUGCAUUUUUUUUAUUUGUUUUCAAUCAGACCCCAUUGCUUAUUAACUCCUGAAAUCUAAGAUAAGGAGUAUCAGAGAUAGUGAUGGCAUUAUGUGGGCACCAGGUGAAAGCCCCUGGGUUUUAAGAAAAAGAUACUCCGGAGACGAGAAGCAUGGAUAAGGGUCACGGAGGUGCUUCAAUAAGAUAUGAUGCAUGAUAAGGACCGAGGUCUCGUAGAUAACCAGAAAGCCUGCAUGAUCUCAUGCAGGACAAACUUGCGUAUCCUAGCAACACAAACAUGGCAUUGGUAGAUAAUUGAAACAAAUGGGAUAUAGUUUGGCCAAGAUAAGAAAGUGUGAGGGAUAUCUGAAAAACAUCAAGAAUCAGAAAUAUCUUGGAAAAAAUGAUGAAGACCAACCGAUAAACCACUUUUUAUGAGAUUUUCAGCAAUUUUAUAUGAUCUCCAUUCAUUUUAACACUCUCCUUCUCCCCUUUUCUUUUUAAAUUUGUCAUUUUUUUUUCCUUUUUUUUCUUCUGUUUUUGUUGUUGCCCGUCGACAAAAGGCUACGCAACGAAGGAACCCUUCCAAAAAUAUCACUAACCCACUGUGAAGGCCUACUUCGGACCCGAUCCACUUCAUCGGCCUGGCCCAUCCAGGCCCAUGGUGUUAUGCGCGUGAUAGAAAGUGGAAGACUCCCCCAGAGGGGGUCUUCUUCCUCUUCCAUGACUCCGACCNNNNNNNNNNNNNNNNNNNNNNNNNNNNNNNNNUCCACUUCCUAUCACACACAUGACACGCACGGGCUAGCGAUGGGCCAGGCCGAUCAAGUAAAUCGGGUUUCGACUGAUCUUCACAUUCUUCUCUCCAUAAAAAAGUUUCGCCCUCGAAACUUAAUUUAUCUUCAUUCUUUAAGAAUACCGACUCUUCUUUUACUUCACCAUACUUUCACUGCGCAACGCUGAUCUAAACCAACUCUUCUAUACUCAUUCUAUGCCUAACUUUACGAAUCAUAAAUCUAGUCGGAGUCACCGAAGAGGACCGGGAGUCUUCCACUUCCUAACACGUACAGGCCAGCGAUGGGCCAGGUCGAUCAAGUAAAUCGGGUUUGGACUGGCCUUCACAUUCUUCUCUCCUUAAAAAAGUUUCAUCCUCGAAAUUUAAUGUACCUUCAUUCUUUAAGAAUACCGACUCUUCUUUUACUCCACCAUACUUUCGCUGCGCAACGCUGAUCUAAACCAACUCUUUUAUACUCAUCCUAUAUCUAACUUUACGAACCUUAAAUCUAAGCUUAAGUUCUACCCAUUACUAGAUUUUUAAGCUUAACCCACAAUCAAACCAAUUAUUCUGAUGCCAUAAAAUAUCACGCCCCAAAUCUGGGAUAUAACACGGCUAUGUUACCAAUGAGUACAACCCAUGAUAAUACAAAGCCAAAUAUUUUAUUUAACUUCCAAAUUCAUCUCAAACAAAAUAUAAUAAAUAAAAGUCUAAUUUUAUAAUCUAUUAAAUGUAACCAAUGCCGGUUCAGAGCGUCUAAAUUGAAACAUAAAUACCAAACUUAUAAUUCUCAAUAUUCAAAAAAAUAUUAACUACAAAUUUAUAGUCAAUUUAAAAUACUAAAUUUUUUCUACAAAAUCGUCAAACUUGCUGGCGCGAACUCCAAGCCUGGAUCAUCCCGACCCUAUUUGUUUAGAGAGAGAAAAAAAUAAAAAUAGAGAUAUAUAAGCGACACAGCUUAGUAAAUAAACUUUUCACUAUCUUACCGGAUCAAGUAUAAGUAUUAACUUGCAGCCAUAACUCAUUUAGAGAAGAUAACUACCAUUAGAAAAAUAUAUUUUAUAAUAACAGCAUUAUCAUAAAUCAAUAAUGCUCUUGCAUAUGCAUAAAUUAUACAAAUUAUAUAAAUAUGGUUAUAGUGCAUAAACAAAAUCAUAAAUUGUCCUAAUUUUACAAAGUCAUAAAUUAUUUAUCAUUUUGCCAUAUCAUAAUUUAUAAUAAUUCUCUCAAAUUAAAUGCUAAGAUGACCGUAUACCUGCAACAGAGAUGUAAUUAAUAUCAUACCAACUACUAUACCCAUUGGGCUGUAUGUCAUGCUACUAUAACCCGCUGGCAAGGGUAGUAUGCCAAGCCACUAUUAUCCGCUGGCGAGGGCUUAUGCCACGCUACUAUAAUCCGCUGGCAAGGGUCAUACAUAGCUAUAUGAAAGCCCAUAGUCAUUUCUUAAAACAAAUAUUCUUUAAGUCAUAGUUCCUUAAAUCAUAGUCUUAAAUCAUACAUGAAUAAAUCGCUAAAAGGCUAUAAAGAGUUUGUAGUCCAUAAUUAAACCUUUAACAGUAGAAUAAUUAUAAAAUUAUUUUUUUAUAACAAAAUACAAAUUUUAUAAAUAUGGACUUCAUAGUUCACAAACAAGUCAUUAAUAUUAAAAUAUUUAUGAAAUAAUUAUUUCACAAUAAAUCAUGAGUUGCAUAAUAUUAUAUGCUUGAUCCUUGAUUUUAAGAAAACAUGAUAUCAUCAACAUUUAAUUCUAUUUUAUAUUUUCAUAAUACCAAAAAAUAAGUGAAAAUUUAAAAACUAAUAAGCAGUGUUAGGAUUACUUACCUCUUUUGUCUUAGACUUUCAAACUUCACUAGGCGAACCUACUAAACUUAUUUAAAGAUAUUUAGAGUAAGAUUCAUUCUCAUUUGAUAACUUUAAUAGUUUUGAAAUAACAAGACAAAGAAAACGGUUGGCCAGAUGACGGAAGCCCGAUUAGGUCAGAUCUAAGCAACUUGAUUAAUGAAUCACGAGAUACGGACUCAAUUAGAGCUAACGCCAUUCGAUAGGGUUCAUUAAUAUUGGGUUUCAUAGACACUUAUCAGGGCUUAGUUGAUCGAUCUGGUAGGCUGCCUAGGCACUAGGGCAGAUCAAGGCCCCUUGCAGGGGUCAACUUAGGUCCAUAUGAUAGGCAGAUAGGACUCGAUUAAUGGAUCUAUGAGUCUUUUUAGAAAGAAAAAUAGAAAUAUGAGAUAAAAGAAAGAGAGAAAAUAAGAGAGAAAUAAGAGAGGGAUGGCUCUCCCUCUCUCCUCUUCCUUUUCUCUUCUUUUUUCUUUCUUUCUUCAUAAAUAAGGGAGGAAGGGAGUGGACGGUGGCUGGCCAUGGUGAUUCGACGAGGCGGCAGCCAAUAAGGGUGGCAGCAGCGAAGAAUAGCCGGUAGCAGCGACCAGCUAAAUUCAACCCCAAAAUUGGGCUGAGACGGGUGAUUCUUGGCUCGGUUGUAUUCAGAUCCUAGCCCGCUCACUGGCAGCUAGGAGUCUGGCUUCGAACAAAGACCAACAUGAGGGAGCGGUCGAGGGUUUCGACGCGCCAGUGGCGAAGAUGGCCAAAAAAAAGGAGGUGAAACAGAGCAAAACAAAGAAUCUUUUUCCCUGAGUGGUUUCCGGCGGAUUUCUCGGCCAACGACCGUAAUUCCAAGUAGUCGGCAGAAGAAAAAGAAAAGGAGAGAAAAGACAGGGCGCUGUCUUGGUUCCGGCGGUAUCUGGCGGCUCCAAUUUGCGGCGGGAGACCUAGGGCUCCGGUGGCCCUAGGUCUCUGACUCCUAGUCGGAGUUGCGGAAGAGGACGAAAACUUCCUCUAGGAAUCUUCCACUUCCUAUCAUGCGCAUGACACACGCGGGCCAGUGAUGGGCUGGGCCGAUCAAGUGGAUUGAGUCUGGACCAGGCCUUUACACCCUCCGUUGCUGAGAAGUUACCCAAGGUCCUGAGCGGUAUAUGAAUGAAAAUAGCUUUUCACAUAUUUAAUACGUAAUGUAUGCAGGUGGCCUGAGCAGCUGAUAACAGAUAUGUCAGCCCAAGUAUAUUGAGCAAGCCAAAUACAAUGUAACAUCUUAAACUAGAGAAUCAAAUAAGAAAACAUCAUGGUUUAGGUUUAAAAAGAGGCAGCCACUGAUCUAGACAUAGAAAAAGAUAAAUAAGUGCCUUAACUUUUAUAUGUUCUCAUAUUGAAAGACUAGCUAAACGAAGGACCAAUUAACAAACAUGAAGCAGAUGCAGUGGGCUUCAUCUUCAUCAUUCUGCACCUUCCAAGCCACUGCGCUCUCAUAAGAAACAGGCCUACCCAUGCUUGAAAUGCAAAGACCACCCUGAAGGCAUGCUAAACCCUGCCCACAGGAAAAAAACAGUCAUUCUUUUGGGUAAACAAAAUUUUUGAAUACAUGUGGUGUGCGUUUUUUCUAACGGGAUGAUUAGAAGUGGAGAUAUGACUCCACAGAUGCAAUCAAAACCAUUUAAGCCGGACACCCCAGAUUUGAGGUGCUGCUCCAUAUAGUUAUUCUCAAAUGAAGUUUAGUUAUGACAUUCACCAUAGAAAGACAAGGCCCUGCAUGACAACCAAAAGCCCAACAUUCAGAAUUGGGUGACUGCCAAAACUCGGACAGCAUCAGACAUGCUCAUCUGAGCACGCCUCUACAACCAAUGAAACAUCCAAUACUGGAGCCUACUUCUAUCUCAGAAGUUUCAGGGAUGAUAAAUAUCAUUUUGGUAUUUUUUACCCUUCAAGUUCUUCUGAAUCUUCUUAAACUAUAUAUUAUAGUUUUAUGCAGAAAUGCUAAAAUUAUUUGUUAAAGAAGGUCAUGAACCUGCUGCAUUAUAUGAGGGAACUCUGCGCAAAGAGUCUUCCUUCCUUGGUCAUCAAAUAUCUUUUCCAGAGUAAUGUCUUGCAAGGCAACCAAGGUAGUCUCAAGCAUGUCAAGGCCAGCCUGGUUUGCAAAUGUGAAAACUGGCAUUGCCUGCAACAAAGUAAUAUACAGAAUCUACAGAUUAUUAACAGUUAAAGAACCAAUGGUUUAAUAAGAAAGGACAAAGAUAUAAUGAAUUGCAGGCACAUUUCUUCCUAGCCACUUACAGAAGGUUAAAAGUAGAGGCAAGAUUUUACCUUAACAUUACUACAUGUCAACUUGGUUAAAUUUCAUCUUUCAUCAUAGGCAUAACCAAUUCUUGAUCCAUUUCUUUUUUCCCUCAUGUGAUAGAUAACUAGUAAAUUUGAUUAAGUGUACAUUAAAGUCUAAAUUUAAAUUAGAAAUUACUAUAAAGCUAUACAGAUGAACUCAUGCCUGGUCCAUACAGCAGACACUCCUUCCCAUCUUCCAUUAGUCCUAGGCAAGACUAUUGGCACCCUCAAUAGCUACUCUUCCUUGCAUCCUGACUGUCCACAUCUUACAUUAAAAAGAACCCUUCAAGGCCUAUCAGAAGUAAAUUUGCUAAUAAAACCCAUCAAACACUCGAAGUUUAAUUUGUGAUACUACAUCGUGGUCUUACAAUUAAUAUAAACACGAAUAAUCUUAGGCUUUACAACAUUGACUAUAGCUCGUUGUAGGCUGAAAAAUCAACAUUAGUCAUUGCAAAGUUAAACCCACAAACCAUCCACUCCCCUUACCAAGACAACAAAAAAACAUCCCACAACCAGAACAACUCCACCAGAGGGCCCUACUCCAUCAUAAGCAACCAUAUCGAUUAUUUUCCAUCUUUUAUUUUGUAACAUCCAUUUUACCUUUUAUGGCCCAUGGCUAAUCUAGGAGGAAAAUAUUCUUCCAUUCAACAUUGUCUUUCCACGAAGGAAAUUGGACUUAAACUAGAAUACACCCAUAGCAUCAUAUUAUUUGAAUUCUUCAACAGUUCUGAUAUUCAGUACUUCAUGCUCAAACAGCAUCAAUUUUUCUGUUGCUGUUAAAUCAUGCAAACACUGGUUAUUGACUUACUGGUAUUAAAUUGCAAAAUUCAUGCCCCUCACAUCACAAUUUAGUCUCAGGAAAGUAUCGAGUAGUUUGGCAAAAAAGGAAACAAAUGAAGUCAAAUCAUGUGUAGGAAUCAAUUCCAAGUCCAACUGGUUAUUUCGCAUUACAAUAUAUGAUUUGUGUUGUCUCCAUUCUUUAUUUACAUGCUGUAAAUAUGACUAUUUAAUUUCCUAUAUUAUGGUGUAUUCCUUGCUUAACUACAAGCAUAACCUUCCAUCCCAAAACUAGCCAGUAAUUGUAGGUGGAUCAAAUACUCUUGCAUAAGCAGGGAAGGGCAACAGAAAGCCUACGGGGACCAUUAUAAAAUUGUGAAAGGCCCUGGCAGUCAAACUAUUAUCAAUGGAAGGUUCAAAAUACUACAGAAAUUCUCAAAUUCUUGUAUUCCUGAUUGGAAGGUAAACUAUUUAAAUAAAAACCUUUACAAGCCUGGAACCGUUCCAAAAAUUUGUGCCCAAUGCCCGUUGGAAGCAA
rnacentral:lncRNA from 1 species